UUGCCAGUAGGUUCGGUUGUUUUUUAUUUUUUGGCCAAUCGAGGUCUCAUAAUAUAUUUUUUCAUAGGGAUACGUGUAAAACUAGUAAAAACUGGCCAGACCGAGGUGAACUGCCACCGUGGGCGGUGGAGCGGGAGCUGGAGCACGGCGACACCGCCGUGUCGGAACCCUAAAAUUGGCCCAAAUAGAUUUUCAACACUGAUUUUGAGUUUUUGGAU
rnacentral:lncRNA from 1 species